rnacentral:rRNA from 1 species
UACGUAGGUGGCGAGCGUUGUCCGGAAUUAUUGGGCGUAAAGGGCGCGCAGGUGGUGCGGUAAGACUGCCGUGAAAUCUCCCGGCUCAACUGGGAGGGUGCGGUGGAGACUGCCGGACUGGAGGCACUCAGAGGCCGGUGGAAUUCCCGGUGUAGUGGUGAAAUGCGUAGAGAUCGGGAGGAACACCAGUGGCGAAGGCGGCCGGCUGGGGGUGACCUGACGCUGAGGCGCGAAAGCGUGGGGAGCGAACCGG